AGAGUUUGAUCCUGGCUCAGGACGAACGCUGGCGGCGUGCUUAACACAUGCAAGUGGAGCGACGAACCAGGGCUUGCCCUGGGGCAGAGCCGCGAACGGGUGAGUAACACGUGGGUUACCUGCCUCGAUGACUGGGACAACCCGAGGAAACUCGGGCUAAUACCGGAUGUCCCCGCAAGGGGAAAGGAAGCUUCGGCCUCCGCAUCGAGAUGGGCCCGCGGCCCAUUAGCUUGUUGGUGAGGUAAUGGCUCACCAAGGCUCCGAUGGGUAGCUGGUCUGAGAGGACGAUCAGCCACACUGGGACUGAGACACGGCCCAGACUCCUACGGGAGGCAGCAGUGGGGAAUCUUGCGCAAUGCGCGAAAGCGUGACGCAGCAACGCCGCGUGGGGGAAGAAGGCUUUCGGGUUGUAAACCCCUUUCAGUUGGGACGAAGCUUCGUCGGUGAAUAGCCGGUCGGAGUGACGGUACCUUCACAAGAAGCACCGGCUAACUACGUGCCAGCAGCCGCGGUAAUACGUAGGGUGCAAGCGUUGUCCGGAAUUAUUGGGCGUAAAGAGCGUGUAGGCGGCCCGAUUAGUCCGCUGUGAAAGUCCAGGGCUCAACCCUGGAAAGCCGGUGGAUACUGUCGGGCUAGAGUCCGGAAGGGGCGAGUGGAAUUCCUGGUGUAGCGGUGAAAUGCGCAGAUAUCAGGAGGAACACCAAUGGCGAAGGCAGCUCGCUGGGACGUGACUGACGCUGAGACGCGAAAGCGUGGGGAGCAAACAGGAUUAGAUACCCCCGUAGUCC
rnacentral:rRNA from 1 species